CCUACGGGGGGCAGCAGUGGGGAAUAUUGGACAAUGGGGGCAACCCUGAUCCAGCCACGCCGCGUGUGUGAAGAAGGCCCUCGGGUUGUAAAGCACUUUCAGUGAGGAAGAACGCCUGGUGGUUAAUACCCAUCAGGAAAGACAUCACUCACAGAAGAAGCACCGGCUAACUCCGUGCCAGCAGCCGCGGUAAUACGGAGGGUGCGAGCGUUAAUCGGAAUUACUGGGCGUAAAGCGCGCGUAGGUGGCUUGAUAAGCCGGUUGUGAAAGCCCCGGGCUCAACCUGGGAACGGCAUCCGGAACUGUCAAGCUAGAGUGCAGGAGAGGAAGGUAGAAUUCCCGGUGUAGCGGUGAAAUGCGUAGAGAUCGGGAGGAAUACCAGUGGCGAAGGCGGCCUUCUGGACUGACACUGACACUGAGGUGCGAAAGCGUGGGUAGCAAACAGGAUUAGAUACCCUGGUAGUC
rnacentral:rRNA from 1 species